AGCGUUGUAGCUCAAUGGAAGAGCAUCCCACAAUUUUUACUUUAUCGGGAAGGACAUGAGUUCAAUUCUCAUCAGCGGUACAA
rnacentral:tRNA from 1 species